GCUCAUGCCAUACCACUAAGAAUGCCCGAUCUUGACUGAUCUUGGACGCUAAGCAGAUCCAGGACUAGUUAAUACUUGGAUGGGAGACCGCCUGGGAAUUCCAGGUGCCGUAUGCU
rnacentral:rRNA from 1 species